AUUGAACGCUAGCGGGAUGCUUUACACAUGCAAGUCGAACGAGUGGCGGACGGGUGAGUAAUAUAUCGGAACGUGCCCAAUAGCGGGGGAUAACUAUUCGAAAAAGUGGCUAAUACUGCAUACUAUUGGAUCGGCCGAUAGUGGAUUAGCUAGUUGUGGGGGUAAAGGCUCACCAAGGCAACGAGCCGUAGCUGGUUUGAGAGGAGGACCAGCCACACUGGGACUGAGACACGGCCCAGACUCCUACGGGAGGCAGCAGUGGGGAAUUUUGGGCAAUGGGGGAAACCCUGAUCCAGCCAUCCCGCGUGUAUGAGAAGGCCUUCGGGUUGUAAAGUACUUUCAGUCGGGAGGCGUUACCGAAAGAAGAAGCCCCGGCUAACUCCGUGCCAGCAGCCGCGGUAAUAC
rnacentral:rRNA from 1 species